rnacentral:lncRNA from 1 species
UCUUCAAUGUAGGAACACUCUGGAAGGGCAUGGUGUGCCUAUAAAAUGGCAUGUUUGGGAGAGUCAUGCAGAGCAAGAAGCUCACCUUUGGUGACUUGAAGUGAUGUUGAAGACACAUCGUCUUCUCCCUUUCUGUAGGACAUCUCCAUGUUUCCAUGGGAUAUCUCCAAGCUUAGAAGAUCUAGCCCAUCCUCUAUGGGCAUCUAGGAGAUUGAAGGAUAGGAAAGGUUUUCACUCUUUUCAGACAAGUCCCGUACCACCCAUACCUAAUAUGAUCAUGCCAAAGAGACCAAUCACGAGAUGUGAGAUGUAGGUCUCUACUUAUCGGGCGAAAGGAUGAGGCGACAUAAUUUUCUGUCUCCACCAUGUUCUGAGGAGUAACCACACAGUGCCCAAGCCAGCUUUAAAUUUGGGAAAUUAAGUGAAUGCUAGAAAUCAAGAGGAACGACAAACUUGUAUAAAGAGAAGAAAGAGAGCAAGGGGAAAGAAAAAAAGAGAGAGAAGGAGGGAUCGGGUCUAACUCUUUGCAUGCAACUUUGUUGAGGUAUAGAAAAUUGUUAUUAGUUAGUGUAAAAGUUUUUUAGUUGUUGUUGUUGUUGUUGCUCUUUUUCUUCCUUUUUGCCUUUUCUUAAGGGAAGAGUGUUGUAGCUAUAUAUCGAAUACAGAUGUACAUUGUUUUUAGUCAAGC